rnacentral:rRNA from 1 species
UACGGAGGGUGCAAGCGUUAUCCGGAUUCACUGGGUUUAAAGGGUGCGUAGGCGGGUAUAUAAGUCAGUGGUGAAAUCCCCGAGCUUAACUUGGGAACUGCCGUUGAUACUAUGUAUCUUGAAUGUCGUGGAGGUAAGCGGAAUAUGUCAUGUAGCGGUGAAAUGCUUAGAUAUGACAUAGAACACCGAUUGCGAAGGCAGCUUACUACACGAUGAUUGACGCUGAGGCACGAAAGCGUGGGGAGCAAACAGGAUUAGAUACCCCCGUAGUCC